AUUGAACGCUGGCGGCAUGCCUAACACAUGCAAGUCGAGCGGUUGAGGUAGCUUGCUACCGAUGCAGCGGCGAACGGGUGAGUAAUACAUGGGAAUCUGCCUGGUAGUGGGGCACAACGUCUCGAAAGGGACGCUAAUACCGCAUACGCCCUACGGGGGAAAGGGGGGGAUCUUCGGACCUCUCGCUAUCAGAUGAGCCCAUGUCAGAUUAGCUAGUUGGUAGGGUAAAGGCCUACCAAGGCGACGAUCUGUAACUGGUCUGAGAGGAUGAUCAGUCACACUGGAACUGAGACACGGUCCAGACUCCUACGGGAGGCAGCAGUGGGGAAUAUUGGACAAUGGGCGCAAGCCUGAUCCAGCCAUGCCGCGUGUGUGAAGAAGGCCUUAGGGUUGUAAAGCACUUUCAGUGGGGAGAAAGGUUAUUCACCUAAUACGUGAGUAAAUUGAUGUUACCCACAGAAGAAGCACCGGCUAACUCCGUGCCAGCCGCCGCGGUAA
rnacentral:rRNA from 1 species